rnacentral:lncRNA from 1 species
AAAAAAACAUACUUCUAUUUUGAUACGGAGGGAGUACAAAGUACAGUGUUGGUUGUGAAUAAAUUAUACUCCACUUAGGUUUGAGUACACAAUUUGACAAAAGCUUGGGCGCCAGACUCAAAGUUCUCUUGUCGUUUCAAAAAAAAAAAAGUUCUCUUGUCACGCAUGUAUCUCACAUUUCUAUGACUACUUCACUGUCACAAUAAAACACAUUGCACUGGAAAACACUUCACUGACACAACAAAACACAUUGCACUGAAAAACACUUCACUGACACAACAAAACACAUUGCACUGAAAAAGCCACUUUGGUUUUGCCAGCUUAUUCCCCCAAAACGUAGGUGUUCAUUAGCUGUUUCAGAUAUUCCACCAUAAACAAGGGUUCUGCACAGGACCUUCGCACCAGCUUAUCCUCCACCCAAAUGAGCUGAGGCUUCUACGUCAGCAAGCAAGAUGCCAAAGACUCACAUGCUACUUACUCAGCAUCACUGGUAUCCAAAACAAACGCAGCACAACCUUAAUGAUUCUACAUCUAUGCUUGCACACGUUUCGCCGGUACGAUGUAUUUGCCCCUCGCUCCAUGGCCAUCUGCUAUGCUGCGUAUCCUGAAUUGCCG